rnacentral:rRNA from 1 species
GUGAGGAAUAUUGCGCAAUGGAGGCAACUCUGACGCAGCCAUGCCGCGUGCAGGAAGAAGGCGCUACGCGUUGUAAACUGCUUUUAACCGGGAAGAAACCCCAGGACGUGUCCUGGGUUGACGGUACCGGAGGAAUAAGCACCGGCUAACUUCGUGCCAGCAGCCGCGGUAAUACGAAGGGUGCAAGCGUUAUCCGGAUUCAUUGGGUUUAAAGGGUGCGUAGGCGGAGCGUUAAGUCAGUGGUGAAAUCCUGCAGCUUAACUGUAGACAUGCCAUUGAUACUGGCGCUCUUGAGUGCGCUUGAAGUGGGCGGAAUGUGCCGUGUAGCGGUGAAAUGCUUAGAUAUGGCACAGAACACCAAUUGCGAAGGCAGCUCACUAAGGCGAUACUGACGCUGAGGCACGAAAGCGUGGGGAUCGAACAGGAUUAGAAACCCUGGUAGUCC